ACAAACGCGAGCCCUGGAUCGACGUAGACGUUAGCGACGCCUCGGCGAGUUGUACGUCGUUUGGAUAAGCGCAGCCCGCACACACACCGCCCGGUCAGGACAACCUCGGGAUUUCGGCGAGAUCCCGUCUAGCGUCACUGAUGCAAGGUGCCGUCCGGACGACACACCUAGAAAAAUUCGGGAGCUACAAAACCAGCCUCGGGAUUUGGGCGAAGUCUUGUUUUAGCUCCGUGAACAUUCGCGACCCGUGCGUUUACUGAACUACCCUGACUGUCCCUUAAGAAGAUGAAUUAAUUAUUAGCGCGUAAUUAGCUUUCCCCUGAAAAACUGAACCGGAGCAGAUGUCAGACAACCUUUAAAAGAAAAAGACAUAAUUCCUGGCGACCUGCCCGUAGCACAGCGUAGUCCCUUUUUGCCUGCUCGACAAUCCUGGCAAUUUUAAUAUUAAUGAAGAAAACUACGAACUCUCGUCUCAUCAACCGAAGGAUACGUCAGACCGGAGCUGAUUUCAGACAACCUUUAAAAGAAAAGGACAUAAUUCCUGGCGACCUGCUCGUAGCACAACGUAGUCCCUCCUUGCCUGGUAGGCAAUGGUUGUUCUCCCGCGCUCUUAAUAUCCUAACAAUCCCGUCAAUUAACUCCCUUAUCCCUAUAACGCGUCCAGGUAGUCGAGUAAACGUUUUAUAACACUAAAAAUAAUACGACCUACCCUCGGUCACUUUGGCGGUGGGUGCUUACCUUAUACAGUGCGACGACAGGCGGCUGGCAGCAGAACACUUGGCAGGGCACUCCGGACUCGAACCUCACUGUUUCGCGUGCGACCACAAACUAGUGAUGGAGAACUAUCGAUGGCGCUAUCGAUAACUAUCGAUAUUUUUCACUAUCGAAAACAAUCGAUAGUAUUUGGAGGCUAUCGAUAUUUUGCGAUAGUUCGUUUGGAACACAUCUCUACUUAGAUUGAGGUUAUAAUAUAAAUGGUUAUUGUAAAUUUAAACGUAUUUGGUUAUAAAUAUGUGUUGUUUGUUCAUAAAGAAAGUUUAAAAUGGAUAAAUUUUUAAACAUAAAAAGGAAAAAAGAAGACAGUCCGAGCAGUCGUCGUAGCAGUAAGUAAAAUUUAUGAACAAAACAUAAUGCAUUUUUAAAAGCAUUAAAUCCCCCCGAAGUUAAUUGAAUAUGUUCAAGCUAGGCUGUUCCCAUUUCCCAUAUGAAAAAAGAAAAGUAACUCAAAUGGGCACUUUGAUGGAUCCUCGAUUUAAAAAGGAAGGUUUCAGAAGCAAUGAGAAUGCAGAAUGUGCAGCAUAAAUGGAGCAGGAAAUGGUCCAGAUUUUGAAAAAAGAGGAGGAAGCAGACCCCACAGAAUCCAGAUUUAGAGAUGACAGGCCUGGCUACGAGCAGUACCUACAAGCACUACUACCACCAGCAGCAGUGGAAAUCCAUUAUUUUCUUUUAUUGAAGAAAGAAUUUGCCGGAAAAUUAAAUCAAUAACUGCAGAUGCAUUCAUCAUCAAACGUCAGUAUUUGAGAAACAAAUUGCAACUUAAAAUGAUGAUCCUCUUCUGUUCUGGAAGGUAAAUGGAAGGGAUUUACACCCACUGGAAGAAUGUAG
rnacentral:lncRNA from 1 species